UACAGAGGUCUCAAGCGUUGUUCGGAUUCAUUGGGCGUAAAGGGUGCGUAGGCGGCGCGGUAAGUCGGGUGUGAAAUCUCGGAGCUUAACUCAGAAAACUGCCAUGGAUACUAUUUGUCUUGAAUAUUGUGGAGGUAAGCGGAAUAUGUCAUGUAGCGGUGAAAUGCUUAGAUAUGACAUAGAACACCAAUUGCGAAGGCAGCUUACUACACAGUUAUUGACGCUGAGGCA
rnacentral:rRNA from 1 species